GGGAGGCAGCAGUGAGGAAUAUUGGUCAAUGGACGCAAGUCUGAACCAGCCAUGCCGCGUGAAGGAUGAAGGCCCUCUGGGUUGUAAACUUCUUUUAUAGGGGAAGAAACCCAUCUUUUCUAAGGUGGUUGACGGUACCCUAGGAAUAAGCACCGGCUAACUCCGUGCCAGCAGCCGCGGUAAUACGGAGGGUGCAAGCGUUAUCCGGAUUCACUGGGUUUAAAGGGUGCGUAGGUGGGUCUGUAAGUCAGUGGUGAAAUCUCCGAGCUUAACUCGGAAACUGCCAUUGAUACUAUAGGUCUUGAAUUUUCUGGAGGUUAGCGGAAUAUGUCAUGUAGCGGUGAAAUGCUUAGAUAUGACAUAGAACACCGAUUGCGAAGGCAGCUGACUACGGGAAUAUCGACACUGAGGCACGAAAGCGUGGGGAUCAAACAGGAUUAGAAACCCCGGUAGUCCC
rnacentral:rRNA from 1 species